rnacentral:rRNA from 1 species
UACGUAGGGUGCAAGCGUUAAUCGGAAUUACUGGGCGUAAAGCGUGCGUAGACGGUUAUUUAAGUCGGGUGUGAAAGCCCCGGGCUCAACCUGGGAAUUGCAUUCGAGACUGAAUAGCUAGGGUGCGGAAGAGGGAAGCGGAAUUUCCGGUGUAGCGGUGAAAUGCGUAGAUAUCGGAAGGAACACCAGUGGCGAAAGCGGCUUCCUGGUCCAGCACCGACGUUCAGGCACGAAAGCGUGGGGAGCAAACAGG